rfam:Microgenomates (Woesebacteria) bacterium GW2011_GWA2_33_28 TR38_C0005, whole genome shotgun sequence.
GGAGGAUUGGUAGAACGGUAAUACGCGGGUUUCGAAAACCCGUGGGAGUAAUCCCAAGUAGGUUCGACUCCUACAUCCUCCG